rnacentral:tRNA from 2 species
UCCCCGUUGGUCUAACGGUCAGGAUACGGCACUUUCAAAUCUUCCACCUGUGGAAGAUGACGGCCUGCUGAGGUCGGGGUUCGAUUCCCCGGCGGGGAG